rnacentral:rRNA from 1 species
GUGAGUCAUCGAGUCUUUGAACGCACCUUGCGCUCCUUGGUAUUCCGAGGAGCAUGCCUGUUUGAGUGUCAUUAAAUUCUCAACUCCGAUCGAUUUGUUUCGACUUCGGAGCUUGGAUUUGGAGCGUGCUGGCCGCAUAUUGGUCGGCUCCUCUCAAAUGCAUCAGCGGAAUUCAACCUUUGGCUUCCGGAUGUCAAUGUGAUAAUCAUGUUGCACUGUCGUUUGAUCCCUCAGAGUCCGCUUAUAAUGGUCUUCGGACAAAAUCAUCAUCAAAUUUGACCUCAAAUCAGGUAGGUACUACCCGCUGAACUUAAGCAUAUCAAUAAGCGGAGG